rnacentral:tRNA from 1 species
ACAGCAUUAUUAUAUUUAUAUUAUACUAUCUUUCCAAGUUAGAGAUCCUAUUACUAAUAGGAUGUUGUA